AGGCAUGUGUUGAGGAUGGAUGACGAGGAGAGAGUGAAGAGGGCUUGGGAGGAACCUGUUAGAGGAAGAGGAUCGAGAGGGAGACAGAGAAUUAGAUGGAUGAUGCCAGUGCCAAAAGACUCAAAACUACUGAUGGGAAAGAAAAUGUUGCUGCCACAGAUGAUGAUGGUGUACUUUCAAGCUCCCCUAGCAUUAAAUUACCAGAUGUCUGAGUCCUGAUCAAAAAAAGCGUAUGAAUGAGACAAAGUGAAGG